rnacentral:misc_RNA from 1 species
UCUCCGUAGGUGAACCUGCGGAGGGAUCAUUACAGACUUCAUGCCCUACCGGGUAGAUCUCCCACCCUAUGUUAUUAUUACUUUGUUGCUUUGGCGGGCCGUUAGGCUCCGGCCCGACUACCGGCCCCGGCUGGUAAGCGCCCGCCAGAGGACCCAAAACCCUGAAUAUUAGUGUCGUCUGAGUACUAUAUAAUAGUUAAAACUUUCAACAACGGAUCUCUUGGUUCUG